rnacentral:lncRNA from 1 species
UAUAUAAUUCGUUCGUAAGAGGAAUGGGGACACGGGAGUGUACAGGUUAAGGUGUAGUAAUCUUCACUCUUCAAUGCGUUCCAAAAAGGAAAACGCAUCAACUUGCUACAGUGUCUGUAACGAUGGUGACAUGGCAUGGCAUUACUGGUUGAAAAGGAAGUUUAUCCUGACCUCACUGGAAACCAGCCAGAACCAUCAAUGUGGCCCCACCUGACACCCACCCACUCAAUCCGGUGCACCUCACGCUAAAACCGAAGCUUUUGUUUUCCUUCCCAAAAACAAAAGAAAAACAAUAACAAUACCAGUCAAAGCAAAACACCCCAUUUAAAAAUGGUCAUUAGCGUGAAGUAUACACACGCGUCGGUCAUUUAGCACUGACUCCGUCUUGAAGAAAGCACGUCUGUCGGGUAUCGAGGCCUCGAGUGACGAGAGAGGCCCAUGGAUCCUGCACGAUGGUCUUCUGCUCACCAGCCGGUUGGUGGUGACCGGGAAACUGCGUGGUACCGGUAAAAGCGGAUUACAGGCAGUAGCAGGCAGCUUUGGACAGGAGAGGAUUCUUGGGAAAUGGGUUUCGAAAUAAAAUCGAUGUGUGAGAGAUGGGUAGGGUUUGGUUUUGAAAACGGUUAGCUAGGGUCGGAUGAGGCUGGGGCCCACACAGCAUGAUCUCUGAGAUCUUCGUUUGUUUGUUCCGAGGGGUAUUUUGAGACUUAUAUUCUUCCAUUCAUGUCCCUCUACCCCAAGGUCACCUCCAU